rnacentral:tRNA from 1 species
GUGCCGGGGCGCGCCGGAACGGCGCGGCCCGUGUCCCGGGCGGGGGGAGCCGCCGCCGGUCGCCCGGCGCCGGCGCG